GUGAUCAUACUAGUACUAAUGCACCGGAUUCCCUCAGAACUCUGCAGUUAAUCGUGCCUGGGCGGGAGUAUUACUAGGAUGGGUGACCCCCUGGGAAGUCCUCGUGUCGCACCUC